GCCGUCGUUGACCGUGGGGUCGCCUUCAUGUCAUUUGAGUUCCAAAAGAAGUGCAGACGGAGUCGGUGGUUCGAAUCCUCCCGACGGCA